rnacentral:misc_RNA from 1 species
GAUGAAGAACGUAGCGAAAUGCGAUAAGUAAUGUGAAUUGCAGAAUUCAGUGAAUCAUCGAAUCUUUGAACGCACCUUGCGCCCUUUGGCUAUUCCGAAGGGCAUGCCUGUUUGAGUAUCAUGAACACCUCAACUCUCAUGGCUUGCUGUGAUGAGCUUGGAAUUUGGGGGUCUUGUUGGCUUGUGAGCCAGCUCCUCCUAAAUGAAUUAGCUUGCCGGUGUUUGGUGGCAUCACAGGUGUGAUAACUAUCUACUCUUGUGGUUUCCCAUCAGGUAACCUCCAGUGAUGGAGGUUCGCUGGGGCUCAUAAAUGUCUCUCCUCAGUGAGGACAGAUUUUGACUGUUUGAUCUCAAAUCAGGAAGGACUACCCGCUGAACUUAAGCAUAUCAAUAAGCGGAGGA